UAACGCGUGGGUAACCUGCCUCNCNCUGGGGGAUAACAGUUAGAAAUAGCUGCUAAUACCGCAUAAGCGCACGGUUCCGCAUGGAACAGUGUGAAAAACUCCGGUGGUGUGAGAUGGACCCGCGUCUGAUUAGCCAGUUGGCGGGGUAACGGCCCACCAAAGCGACGAUCAGUAGCCGGCCUGAGAGGGUGAACGGCCACAUUGGGACUGAGACACGGCCCAAACUCCUACGGGAGGCAGCAGUGGGGAAUAUUGCACAAUGGGGGAAACCCUGAUGCAGCGACGCCGCGUGAGUGAAGAAGUAUUUCGGUAUGUAAAGCUCUAUCAGCAGGGAAGAAAGUGACGGUACCUGAAUAAGAAGCCCCGGCUAACUACGUGCCAGCAGCCGCGGUAAUACGUAGGGGGCAAGCGUUAUCCGGAUUUACUGGGUGUAAAGGGAGCGUAGACGGCAAGGCAAGUCUGAAGUGAAAGCCCGGUGCUUAACGCCGGGACUGCUUUGGAAACUGUUUGGCUGGAGUGCCGGAGAGGUAAGCGGAAUUCCUAGUGUAGCGGUGAAAUGCGUAGAUAUUAGGAAGAACACCAGUGGCGAAGGCGGCUUACUGGACGGUAACUGACGUUGAGGCUCGAAAGCGUGGGGAGCAAACAGGAUUAGAUACCCUGGUAGUCCACGCCGUAAACGAUGAUUGCUAGGUGU
rnacentral:rRNA from 1 species